rnacentral:tRNA from 1 species
GCGAGAGUGGCCGAAAUGGCAGACGCACCAGACUUAGGAUCUGGAGGGUAACCCCGUGGGGGUUCAAGUCCCCCCUCUCGCA